rnacentral:rRNA from 1 species
CAUACCUACGGGGCGCAGCAGUGAGGAAUAUUGGUCAAUGGGCGGGAGCCUGAACCAGCCAAGUCGCGUGAGGGAAGACGGUCCUAUGGAUUGUAAACCUCUUUAGGCGGGGAGCAAUGCCGGGCACGCGUGUCCGGAGGGAGAGUACCCGCAGAAUAAGCAUCGGCUAACUCCGUGCCAGCAGCCGCGGUAAUACGGAGGAUGCGAGCGUUAUCCGGAUUUAUUGGGUUUAAAGGGUGCGAAGGCGGAUUUUUAAGUCAGCGUGAAAAUGACCGGGCUCAACCC